CCCGCUGAACUUAAGCAUAUCAAUAAGCGGAGGAAAAGAAACCAACAGGGAUUGCCCUAGUAACGGCGAGUGAAGCGGCAACAGCUCAAAUUUGAAAUCUGGCUCUUUCAGGGUCCGAGUUGUAAUUUGUAGAGGGCGCUUUGGCGUUGGCAGCGGUCUAAGUUCCUUGGAAUAGGACGUCACAGAGGGUGAGAAUCCCGUAUGUGGUCGCUUGUCUUCGCCGUGUAAAGCCCCUUCGACGAGUCGAGUUGUUUGGGAAUGCAGCUCUAAAUGGGUGGUAAAUGCCAUCUAAAGCUAAAUAUUGGCGAGAGACCGAUAGCGAACAAGUACCGUGAGGGAAAGAUGAAAAGAACUUUGGAAAGAGAGUUAAACAGUACGUGAAAUUGCUGAAAGGGAAACGCUUGAAGUCAGUCGCGUCGGCCAGAAAUCAGCCUUGCUUUUGCUUGGUGUACUUUCUUGUUGAUGGGUCAGCAUCAAUUUCGACCGUCGGAUAAAGUCGUUCAGGAAUGUGGCAUCUUCGGAUGUGUUAUAGCCUGGCGUCGCAUACGGUGGCUGGGAUUGAGGAACUCAGCACGCCGCAAGGCCGGGUCUUUUUUGACCACGUCCGUGCUUAGGAUGCUGGCAUAAUGGCUUUAAUCGACCCGUCUUGAAACACGG
rnacentral:rRNA from 1 species